rnacentral:rRNA from 1 species
CCAGCAGCCGCGGUAAUACGUAGGUCCCGAGCGUUGUCCGGAUUUAUUGGGCGUAAAGCGAGCGCAGGUGGUUUAAUAAGUCUGAUGUAAAAGGCAGUGGCUCAACCAUUGUGUGCAUUGGAAACUGUUAGACUUGAGUGC